rfam:Clostridium tyrobutyricum DIVETGP, WGS project CBXI01000000 data, contig: NODE_74
AAAUUAGAAUAUUAGGUGAGGCUCCUAUAUAAAUAUAAGCUGCUGCCCUUAACCAUCGCAAGAUGCCACUGGGGUUUAACAGGUACUACCGUAUCAAGGUUUUACUUAACGCAGCUGGAUUUUUGUGUCCAAAGUUAUAUAGUGCUAAAACUAUUACAGUUUUAAGAA